UACAGAGGUGGCAAGCGUUGUUCGGAAUUACUGGGCGUAAAGGGCGCGUAGGCGGCCUACUAAGUCAGACGUGAAAUCCCCCGGCUUAACCUGGGAACUGCGUCUGAUACUGGAAGGCUUGAGUAUGGGAGAGGGAUGUAGAAUUCCAGGUGUAGCGGUGAAAUGCGUAGAUAUCUGGAGGAAUACCGGUGGCGAAGGCGGCAUCCUGGACCAUUACUGACGCUGAGGCGCGAAAGCUAGGGGAGCAAACGGGG
rnacentral:rRNA from 1 species